rnacentral:tRNA from 1 species
UGCGGGGUCGUCUAAUGGCAGGACAGCUGACUCUGGAUCAGCCGGUCUAGGUUCGAGUCCUAGCCCCGCAGCCU